rnacentral:rRNA from 1 species
AUUGAACGCUGGCGGCAUGCCUUACACAUGCAAGUCGAACGGCAGCACGGGGCAACCUGGUGGCGAGUGGCGAACGGGUGAGUAAUGCAUCGGAACGUACCUUUCAGUGGGGGAUAACGUAGCGAAAGUUACGCUAAUACCGCCUAUUCUGUGAGCAGGAAAGCAGGGGAUCGCAAGACCUUGCGCUGAUUGAGCGGCCGAUGUAAGAUUGGCUAGUUGGUGAGGUAAAGGCUCACCAAGGCGACGAUCUGUAGCGGGCCUGAGAGGAUGAUCCGCCACACUGGAACUGAGACACGGUCCAGACUCCUACGGGAGGCAGCAGUAGGGAAUUUUGGACAAUGGGGGCAACCCUGAUCCAGCCAUGCCGCGUGAGUGAAGAAGGCCUUCGGGUUGUAAAGCUCUUUCGGCCGGGAAGAAAUCGCACGGGCUAAUACCCUGUGUGGAUGACGGUACCGGAAUAAGAAGCACCGGCUAACUACGUGCCAGCCGCCGCCGUAACAC